CCCUUUGGGGUGUGACUGCGUACCUUUUGUAUAAUGGGUCAGCGACUUAUAUUCUGUAGCAAGGUUAACCGAAUAGGGGAGCCGGAGGGAAACCGAGUCUUAAUUGGGCGUUAAGUUGCAGGGUAUAGACCCGAAACCCGGUGAUCUAGCCAUGGGCAGGUUGAAGGUUGGGUAACACUAACUGGAGGACCGAACCGACUAAUGUUGAAAAAUUAGCGGAUGACCUGUGGCUGGGGGUGAAAGGCCAAUCAAACCGGGAGAUAGCUGGUUCUCCCCGAAAGCUAUUUAGGUAGCGCCUCGUGAAUUCAUCUCCGGGGGUAGAGCACUGUUUCGGCUAGGGGGCCAUCCCGGCUUACCAACCCGAUGCAAACUGCGAAUACCGGAGAAUGUUAUCACGGGAGACACACGGCGGGUGCUAACGUCCGUCGUGAAGAGGGAAACAACCCAGACCGCCAGCUAAGGUCCCAAAGUCAUGGUUAAGUGGGAAACGAUGUGGGAAGGCCCAGACAGCCAGGAUGUUGGCUUAGAAGCAGCCAUCAUUUAAAGAAAGCGUAAUAGCUCACUGGUCGAGUCGGCCUGCGCGGAAGAUGUAACGGGGCUAAACCAUGCACCGAAGCUGCGGCAGCGACGCUGAUGCGUUGUUGGGUAGGGGAGCGUUCUGUAAGCCUGCGAAGGUGGCCUGUGAGGGUUGCUGGAGGUAUCAGAAGUGCGAAUGCUGACAUAAGUAACGAUAAAGCGGG
rnacentral:rRNA from 1 species